rnacentral:tRNA from 1 species
UAGCUUAGUUGGUAAAGCGCUCGUCUGGCAUACAAGAGUCCUGGGUUCAAAUCCCAG